rnacentral:rRNA from 1 species
GCUCAGGAUGAACGCUAGCUACAGGCUUAACACAUGCAAGUCGAGGGGUAGCAGGGUAGCAAUACCGCUGACGACCGGCGCACGGGUGAGUAACACGUAUCCAACCUUCCCAUUACUCGGGGAUAGCCUUUCGAAAGAAAGAUUAAUACCCGAUAGUACUUUUUCGAGGCAUCUCGUAAAAAGUUAAAGAUUUAUUGGUAAUGGAUGGGGAUGCGUUCCAUUAGAUUGUUGGUGAGGUAACGGCUCACCAAGUCUUCGAUGGAUAGGGGUUCUGAGAGGAAGGUCCCCCACAUUGGUACUGAGACACGGACCAAACUCCUACGGGAGGCAGCAGUGAGGAAUAUUGGUCAAUGGGCGAGAGCCUGAACCAGCCAAGUAGCGUGA